rnacentral:rRNA from 1 species
GACGAACGCUGGCGGCGUGCUUAACACAUGCAAGUCGAACGCUGAAGACCUGGCUUUUGUUGGGUUGGAUGAGUGGCGAACGGGUGAGUAACACGUGAGUAACCUGCCCUCUUCUUUGGGAUAACGCCCGGAAACGGGUGCUAAUACUGGAUAUUCACUGGCCUUCGCAUGGGGGUUGGUGGAAAGGUUUGUUCUGGUGGGGGAUGGGCUCGCGGCCUAUCAGCUUGUUGGUGGGGUGAUGGCCUACCAAGGCUUUGACGGGUAGCCGGCCUGAGAGGGUGACCGGUAACAUUGGGACUGAGAUACGGCCCAGACUCCUACGGGAGGCAGCAGUGGGGAAUAUUGCACAAUGGGCGAAAGCCUGAUGCAGCGACGCCGCGUGAGGGAUGGAGGCCUUCGGGUUGUAAACCUCUUUCGCUCAUGGUCAAGCCGCAACUGUGGGUUGUGGUGAGGGUAGUGGGUAAAGAAGCGCCGGCUAACUACGUG